rnacentral:lncRNA from 1 species
UACACACUUGAUUUCUUUCCAAAGGGUUAUAUAACACUGUAUUUUCACCAGCAAUAUAUGCAACUACUCAUUUCCUACAUACUAUCACUUGUGUGCAGUCAAGGAAACUUAGUAGGCCUGAAUUGCCCAAACCUGGCAUACUCCAAAGAAUGGUGUGACUCUAUCCUAGUUCCCAGGAAAUAACCUCUAAGUCCUCGGACUCUCCUGCCUAUCUGGGAGUUAACAACGUGAUUUAUUAUGGGGACCUUGGACCAUGCAGUCUCAGCUUGACCUUGGGAAGGGUGGAGACGGAGAAACUAAUGUCAUCCAAAUGGGUGCUCUUGUCCAUGUGACCAACCUCCAGUAAAAUGCUCAACACCAAGGCUCAGAAAUGUCACUCUAAAUCAGUACCUAGGGAGGGUCAUCAUUUUCUUUAUCUACAAAUCAAGACACAGUAUGAGUGGCUGCACCCAAUUUGGUAAGUCCUCUAUUAUUGAGGAUGUUUUCCUGUUUCCCUUGUCAUUGUUGUUGCUGUUUUGUUUUGAGACAGAGUUUC